rnacentral:rRNA from 1 species
UACGUAGGGUGCAAGCGUUAAUCGGAAUUACUGGGCGUAAAGCGUGCGCAGGCGGUUAUGUAAGACAGUCGUGAAAUCCCCAGGCUCAACCUGGGAAUUGCGAUUGUGACUGCAUCGCUGGAGUGCGGCAGAGGGGGAUGGAAUUCCGCGUGUAGCAGUGAAAUGCGUAGAUAUGCGGAGGAACACCGAUGGCGAAGGCAAUCCCCUGGGCCUGUACUGACGCUCAUGCACGAAAGCGUGGGGAGCAAACAGG